GAUGAAGAACGCAGCGAAAUGCGAUACGUUAUGUGAAUCGCAGAAUUCAGUGAAUCAUCGAGUCUUUGAACGCACAUUGCGCCCCCUGGUAUUCCGGGGGGCAUGCCUGUCCGAGCGUCAUUGCUGCCCUCAAGCACGGCUUGUGUGUUGGGCCUCCGUCCUCCUCCCGGGGGACGGGCCCGAAAGGCAGCGGCGGCACCGCGUCCGGUCCUCGAGCGUAUGGGGCUUCGUCACCCGCUCUUGUAGGCCCGGCCGGCGCUUGCCGACACAUCAAUCUUUUUUCCAGGUUGACCUCGGAUCAGGUAGGGAUACCCGCUGAACUUAAGCAUAUCAAUAAGCGGAGGA
rnacentral:misc_RNA from 1 species